rnacentral:rRNA from 1 species
UACAGAGGGUGCGAGCGUUAAUCGGAAUUACUGGGCGUAAAGCGUGCGCAGGCGGUUUGCUAAGUGAGAUGUGAAAUCCCCGGGCUUAACCUGGGAACUGCGUUUCUAACUGGCAGGCUUGAGUGUGGCAGAGGGGGGUGGAAUUCCACGUGUAGCGGUGAAAUGCGUAGAUAUCUGGAGGAAUACCGGUGGCGAAGGCGGCAUCCUGGACCGGCAUUGACGCUGAUGAGCGAAAGCUAGGGGAGCAAACGGG